rnacentral:rRNA from 1 species
GAAAGGAUGCUAAUACCGCAUACGUCCUACGGGAGAAAGCAGGGGACUUCGGGCCUUGCGCUAAUAGAUGAGCCUAAGUCGGAUUAGCUAGUUGGUGGGGUAAAGGCCUACCAAGGCGACGAUCUGUAGCGGGUCUGAGAGGAUGAUCCGCCACACUGGGACUGAGACACGGCCCAGACUCCUACGGGAGGCAGCAGUGGGGAAUAUUGGACAAUGGGGGGAACCCUGAUCCAGCCAUGCCGCGUGUGUGAAGAAGGCCUUUUGGUUGUAAAGCACUUUAAGCGAGGAGGAGGCUACCGAGAUUAAUACUCUUGGAUAGUGGACGUUACUCGCAGAAUAAGCACCGGCUAACUCUGUGCCAGCAGCCGCGGUAAUACAGAGGGUGCAAGCGUUAAUCGGAUUUACUGGGCGUAAAGCGCGCGUAGGUGGCCAAUUAAGUCAAAUGUGAAAUCCCCGAGCUUAACUUGGGAAUUGCAUUCGAUACUGGUUGGCUAGAGUAUGGGAGAGGAUGGUAGAAUUCCAGGUGUAGCGGUGAAAUGCGUAGAGAUCUGGAGGAAUACCGAUGGCGAAGGCAGCCAUCUGGCCUAAUACUGACACUGAGGUGCGAAAGCAUGGGGAGCAAACAGGAUUAGAUACCCUGGUAGUCCAUGCCGUAAACGAUGUCUACUAGCCGUUGGGGCCUUUGAGGCUUUAGUGGCGCAGCUAACGCGAUAAGUAGACCGCCUGGGGAGUACGGUCGCAAGACUAAAACUCAAAUGAAUUGACGGGGGCCCGCACAAGCGGUGGAGCAUGUGGUUUAAUUCGAUGCAACGCGAAGAACCUUACCUGGUCUUGACAUAGUAAGAACUUUCCAGAGAUGGAUUGGUGCCUUCGGGAACUUACAUACAGGUGCUGCAUG